GUUUUUUCUAAUUUACAUAAAUGAGAUCACCCCAUAUCUGUUAGCCAAUCCUUAGGUGUUUUAUACUGCUUUCGUUAGAGGUCUUAGCACCCAAAAGAGAUGAUAGAGGUCAGAUGAUGAUGAUAACUAUAACAGGUAUAGUUUUUUUCUUUGUGGGAGAUACAUACAUUAACUCUAAUGUCUACAGCUCUAUGAGACCGGUGGUAUUAUCCCUGUUAUACAGAUCAGGAAAUUGAGGCAGAGGGGUUAAGUGACUUGCCCCGUGUUACGUAGUAAAUGGAGUGCCUGGAUUCACACCCAGGCCAUCUGGUUCCCAGGCUGUACUGUACGAGUCUGCUAAUUUUGCGUUUCACAGGAAAGAUCUGGGCAUAGCCAAAACGUGAAUGAGUUAUUUAGGAAUUUACAUAAAACCUCUUUAAUGAGUUUGCUUAUUUCCUUUCCUUUGCUGGCAUACUUUGUUACACAGUUUUCAUUGUUAGCUUAAGUGGGACAGGGAUCUCUUCAAUUCAGAGGAUCCAAUCUGAAUUUGUAAAUUCUAGCUUGUUUUUCUUUUCUGUUAGAUUUCUAAAUCUGUUCUUACUUUAUUUACUAUAGUUUAGAGCAUGCCUGACUGUCAUGAUACUUGGAGAUCUUCUGCCAAAAUAAAUCCAUCUGCUUUUAAAUUUGAUAUCCCCUAAUCAUUUGCUGUUUUCAGAAAACAGAAAAGCCAAAAACCAAACUGACAGAAAAAGAAAAUAGAGCGUUCAGAUCUUGGUUUCUAGAUAACAUUCUCCAAUAAAUGCAGUCCGGACUCCUUGAUGAAAUGGUUGAUUCCAAGUUUGGGGAAAUAUGAGCUUGGAACAUCUUUUGGUACUAGAAAGUAAGUGCUCAACAAAACAAAAAGAAAAAGGAAAGCAAGUAAAAAAGAUACAGGGACAGUCUGAAGGGGCUCUGAAUAACCAGAGCCAGCAAGUUUGAAUAACAAUGAUAGUAAUUGAUUCUAAUCCGUAAAAUAAGUAUCCAUGAGUCCAUACUACAUCAAAUAACAACUGAAUAAAUGGAGAAAGAAUAGUCCUUCCUUACAGUAGAAUUCUAAUUUACACAUCUGGAAGGAAUGAUGGAAAUAAUUUGCCAAUAGGCAGACCCACAAGUAAUAAUUAUAGGCAGGAGCUAUCAGUGGAUGCUAAAGUUAGCAAAAAGUGUGAUGAGAAGUGGAGUAUUUGCUUAGUCUCAGUAGAUUUCCCCAUAAGGUCCUCAUUAAUUACAAAGGGAAAAAUAAUAGCUUCAUGGUGGAGAACUCUGACAGAUACCAGCUUCACCAGCGAUCAGUUUAUCAGCCUCAGUAAUAAGACAUUGACAUCAUGUACCCUUUGCACUGAGAAGGGCGCGUCAUUUCUGUGAUAUUCUUGCCAAAAAUGUAUAACUUCAGUAUAAUCAUGAGGAAACACUAGACAACCCCAAAGUGAAGGCCAUUCUGUAAAAUAACUGAGCCAAACUCUUCAAGAGUCUUUAUGACCUCUUGGUCCCCCAUCUCCAGGUUUUUUGGUUUCCAAAGUCUCUCUUGUUAAUGAACUGUUAUAGCUUCUUACCCCAUAUAAAACUUUGAUUCCCUAUCUCCUUUCAUGUUUCUUUUUACUGAUAGAGGAAAUGGAGUAUCCUGAGCUCAGGGGUUGAACAGGAAUUUUUAACUGUUUCAUUGGAGAGAACUGCUUUUUGGACUAAAAGGAGAAUGUCAGCUUCAGGGAGUUUUCAGGGACACAGUCCUUCAUUACCAGACUCCGAAUAGAACACUACUGUUCCCAGCCCCUUCUGCUACUCACGGUCCAGCAUUUGAGUGUUCUUGUCUUACUUCCUUUGAUUUUAUAAUGAAAUCUUAGGUGUGCAGUUUUAGACCAGAGGAGAUAAUAGCGAGGCCUGGAUUUUUAUCACAAAUGCUAUAGCUUGUAAACAUCUGUUGUAAAAUCACUACUAUCUUGUUGGCAGAGUUUCAGAAACUCUGGAGGAGCGUCACUGUGGAUUCAAUGGAUGAGGAGAAAAUUGAAGAAUAUCUGAAGCGACAGGGUAUUUCUUCCAUGCAGGAAUCUGGACCAAAGAAAGUGGCCCCUAUUCAGAGGAGGAAAAAGCCAGCUUCACAGAAAAAGCGACGGUUUAAGACCCACAACGAACAUCUGGCUGGAGUGCUGAAGGACUACUCUGACAUUGCUCCUGGCAAAUAGCAAACAGUUUUGUUCAUGAGCAGAGUUAACAAAGUCAAGAUCUUUCUUGUUGAUGCUGGGCUCUGAAGACUGUCUUCCCAUUCUACUUCUUGGACUGAGGAGAGGAGCAGUUCAGUUUACAGAACAAGAGCAAAUUACCAAACUCAAAGCUUACUUUAAUUGAAUGGGCUAAUGAGAUAUGUGAUAUUCCCUGUUAACCUUCUGUUACUUCUGGGGGAAAGGCGCUUAGCAUGCAUGCAAGUGUCUUUGCUACUUAUCUCUAUUUCUAAGUGGUUCCUGGUUCCAUUUCUCUUCCUUUAUUACUUUAGAACAAGUUUGCAGAUAAAUAGUCUUGAAUGCAAUAUUUGUUUAUUCCAGAAGAACAUAUUUAUAAUAAAAUCAUUGUAGAAGGAACUCUAA